GACAAAACAGACCCCAAUUAAGCAUUGAAAGGACAUACUAGAUGUUUUUCAACUCUUUCAUGAAGACUUCUGUUCUUGUUUUAAAAUUUGCUAACUGUCGCAUAAACUAAAAUCACAUUUAGGGCCAUGCACUAAAUAAACAGACUUCAGUCUGAUCUAAAAAUUUUCUCCUUCUAGGUUCGUCAACUUUUGAAAAAUCCGCCUGCACCC
rnacentral:lncRNA from 1 species